GGCCCCAUAGUCAAGUGGCUUAAGACACUGCCCUUUCACGGCAGGAGCGGCGGGUUCGAAUCCCCCUGGGGUCG
rnacentral:tRNA from 1 species